GGUGCCCGAAAUCUGAACCCUAUACCCUACAAUGCAGAAUACAUGGGGCACAAGCUACAUGUAGAUCAAAAUGAAAAGCUUGUUAUGUUUGGUGUGACCCAUGUAAUGGCUAUCGAUGGUUUCAGCAAGAAGAUUGUCAGUCACUCCACUAUGCCAAUAAAGAACGUCAUAAUUUAUGAGGAAGUGUACAGGUAAAAUAACUUUGUUAGUGCUAGUACUCUGCAUGUCAAUGUCAUUGGGCAAGACACUGUGCCCAAAUUGCUCGGUGGUUGUGUGGUAACUUGCCGCUGUAACACCAAAUUCUGCUAGCCCUCAGAUUCUGUGUCAAAACCCAAACCCCAAUAUUUUCUUAAACCUAACCAAGUAGUUUUGGUGCCUAACCUAACCAAACUGCGACCAAUUCACAACGUUAACCACCCUGAGCGCUAUACUUCCUAUUUGGGUCACAGAAUCUGAUGGGUCACAGAUUUUGGGUGUCACACCACCUUGUGUGUGUGUGUGCAGCUGGAAAAUAAUGUAAGUGCUUUGGACUUUUAAUUUGCACUUUAGGGAUUUAUGGCUUAGACUAAUGCUGUGUGUAAAGGUUAUAUUUUAUGAUUGUCUGUGAUUUGUCCUCAGACCUGCUGUACUUUCUUAUGGACUAUGGGAUCAGGUCAGAGUUGACUGUGGGAAAGAGUUUUAUCUGGCAUUAUUCAUACAGGAAAAGCUGGCAGAACACAGACACAAUACUCAAAGGCAGCCUUACCUUCAGACUCCUUCUACAAGGGUGAUAACCAUGUGAUCGAGAGAAUGUGGUCGGAGGUGAAUGCCAGAGUCAACUACCCUUUGAAGACAGCUUUGGUAGAGCUGGUGGACCAAGAUGAACUGAGUAUGGAGGACAACACAUCAAAGUAUUGUGUGUCAAACCUGACAUGCCAGAUGGCUAGGAUUGGCAUUACAAAAGUCACAGAGGCAUGGAAUAUGCACACAGUAAAGGGAAUACCAAAUGAACUGGCUAAAGAAGGCUGUCCUGCAAAACUUCUCGAGGACCUUCUGCCUGUUGGUUCUGUUGCAGCUGACCUGUAUCAGCAGGAAAUGGGAUCCACAUUGAAAAGGGAAUUCAUUUUUGGAUGUGAUCCUUUCCCCUCUGAAGAGGCCCAACAAUGGACUGAAACUGAGUUUGGUUCUCACUUUGACAUAUUAUCACUGUACGAAAAUGUAGUUCACCAUAACUAUCUGUAAAAGUGGUUUCAGUCCAUAACAAAAUAAAUUGCACUAACAAUGCA
ensembl:lncRNA